rnacentral:rRNA from 1 species
UACGUAGGGUGCAAGCGUUAAUCGGAAUUACUGGGCGUAAAGCGUGCGCAGGCGGUCUGUUAAGACCGAUGUGAAAUCCCCGGGCUUAACCUGGGAACUGCAUUGGUGACUGGCAGGCUUUGAGUGUGGCAGAGGGAGGUAGAAUUCCACGUGUAGCAGUGAAAUGCGUAGAGAUGUGGAGGAACACCGAUGGCGAAGGCAGCCCCCUGGGUCAAGAUUGACGCUCAUGCACGAAAGCGUGGGGAGCAAACAGG